UAUUGCGCAAUGGGCGGAAGCCUGACGCAGCGACGCCGCGUGAGGGAUGAAGGUCUUCGGAUCGCAAACCUCUGUCAGCAGGGAAGAACGGUCACUGUGCUAAUCAGCAGUGAAUUGACGGUACCUGAAAAGGAAGCACAGGCUAACUACGUGACAGCAGCAGCGGUAAUACGGAGGGUGCGAGCGUUAAUCGGAAUUACUGGGCGUAAAGCGCUCGUAGGCGGUAUGUCAAGUCAAGGGUGAAAUCCCCGCGCUCAACGUGGGAACUGCCUUUGAAACUGGCAAACUGGAGUGUGUGAGAGGAUAGUGGAAUUCCAGGUGUAGGAGUGAAAUCCGCAGAUAUCUGGAGGAACAUCAGUGGCGAAGGCGACUAUCUGGCACAUAACUGACGCUGAGGAGCGAAAGCGUGGGUAGCAAACAGG
rnacentral:rRNA from 1 species